rnacentral:rRNA from 1 species
AUGGGCUGUCCCACAUCCUACCCACAUGGUUCACAUCCAGCCAGCUCAGCAGCAGCCGGAGCUCCGCCGCCCGCCGGUAGCUCCGCCCCUACGCGCUCCGCCUUUACGCAUCCUCCAGCUCCGUGGCGUUCUACCUCCUCGCUAUCGUCUCCGCCCUCCGGGCCGCCGGCCCAUAUGACCCAGCCGCCGCUUCCGCCUCGCCUCCUUCAAGCCGAGGGAGUAGAGCUUCGCGUGAGCUGCCGAUCCCUAAUCACUGCCCCCGAUGAAGGAGACCGGCACCGACGUCGGCAAGGGCGACAACCCCAAGAACCAAGACUAGCGUCGAUGGAUUGCGUCGUGCACAAGAAGCAGCCGGCGAGGGCGUUGAAGCCCGCAAAGAACCCUCAAGACCAGCCACCGGAAGAACAAGAAAGAAAGAGAGAGGUCAACCUAGACGGAGUGGAGACGGGCGCCGAAGUUGGAGGCGGCAAAGCUCCGACCAUGGCCACCGCGUGA